AAUGUUGUUCCCCAGGUUUUAUGAAUCUUAGUUAAGAAAGUUUUUUUUUUUAAAUGUUUUUUGACACUCAUGGUUAAUUAAUAUAUUUAUUUUUUGUCAUUUAAGGUUGCCGGAAAUGCAGUAGGCAAAAAGUUUUCAAAUACGACUCCAUAACAGGAAGAAGGAUAAAUGAGGGGCAAGCAGAAGUAAGGGUGAAAUGGUUACCUUGCUCUGCAUGUGGAAAAAUCUGGGAGGAGACAUGGGAGCCGGCCUGCCAGUUCUCACCAGGUGUCAAGCAUGUGUGACGUCACCCAUUCAUCUACAAUUCAGUAUGAGUUGAAUACCUGCUAUGAGUUGUCGAGUUCGGCUGUUACGGCACAGCCAUCCUGUUUGCGCAUGUGAUGAUUUUAGAUAAGAAGGAGGAGCCACGUUACACACUUUCAAUGGUUUCCACCCUAACAUGCUGUCAUGCUGUUUUUUUCUUUAUUACUGAUUCUUGCUAAAAGCUGUGUUCAAAUAAAUCAAAGUGUUACUAUAUUUCUGUUUAUGUCUUUCCAUUCACCUUGUGGGUUAGCCAAUUAACUGAAAUAUUCUUC